CUAAAUUACAGAAGAUUCUCCGUCAAUAAUUUUUUUUUUUUUUGUUCUUUUCGGUCAUUCAAAAAUCUAUAUUUGUCCCUUUAAAAAAUAAAAAUAUUCGAUUUGACUCCCGCCGUCAAUGUUUUAUUAAGAUUCUGUUUAUAUUUUAUUUUUUAUAUUCAAAAUAUCCCUCAAACCCCCCUCCUUCCGCAUCCUCAGCCGUGCCGCCUCGCCCUCGUCCAUAUAUCUCUCCAUGCCGACACACACACCCUUGUCCGCCUCCACCGCCUCACCCUCGUCCACCUCGAGGAAGUUGAGAAAUAAUUUGGUCAUUUUGUCACAGCGUAUUUCUCUAUGAAUAUUUUUUAUUUUUUAAGAGGGUAAAGUGUAGAUUUUUGAAUGACAGAAAAAAAGUAAAAAAAAACUGAUAUUGAUAGGAAAGUUUUCUGUAAUUUAGCCUAAAUUCUAAUCUUUUUUAAUAAUUCAUCUUAUUUUUAUUUUGUUAUUCUGUUUGUGGGUAAAAAAAAUUAUAUUUAAUUAUUAUAAAAUUUA
rnacentral:lncRNA from 1 species